CUUGGCCACUGUGAAAAUUCCUGCAGUGCAGCUGUUGAAGCCUGUGCCUUCUCGACUCUGGACUUCUCAGGCUCAUCUAUGGUGCCUCAAAGAGCAGUGUUUCAUUGUUUUCCAUGGCUAAUAUUCCAUUGUGUACAUGGACCACUUCUUCUUUUUCCACUCAUCUGGUGAUGGACCUUUUGGUUGCUUCCGUGUCUUGGCCACUGUGAAAAUUCCUGCAGUGCAGCUGUUGAAGCCUGUGCCUUCUCGACUCUGGACUUCUCAGGCUCAUCUAUGGUGCCUCAAAGAGCAGUGUUUCAUUGUUUUCCAUGGCUAAUAUUCCAUUGUGUACAUGGACCACUUCUUCUUUUUCCACUCAUCUGGUGAUGGACCUUUGGGUUGCUUCCGUGU